UACGAAGGGAGCUAGCGUUGGUAGGAAUCACUGGGCGUAAAGCGCACGUAGGGGGCACGUUAAGUCAGGGGUGAAAUCCUGUAGCUCAACUCCAGAACUGCCUUUGAUACUGGCGUGCUCGAGUGUGGGAGAGGUUGGUGGAACUGCGAGUGUAGAGGUGAAAUUCGUAGAUAUUCGGAAGAACACCAGUGGCGAAGGCGGCCAACUGGCCCAUUACUGACGCUGAGGUGCGAAAGCGUGGGGAGCAAACAGG
rnacentral:rRNA from 1 species